rnacentral:rRNA from 1 species
UACGGAGGGGACUAGCGUUGUUCGGAAUUACUGGGCGUAAAGCGCACGUAGGCGGAUUUGUAAGUCAGGGGUGAAAUCCCGGGGCUCAACCCCGGAACUGCCUUUGAUACUGCGAAUCUCGAGUCCGGAGGAGGUGAGUGGAAUUCCUAGUGUAGAGGUGAAAUUCGUAGAUAUUAGGAAGAACACCAGUGGCGAAGGCGGCUCACUGGUCCGGUACUGACGCUGAGGUGCGAAAGCGUGGGGAGCAAACAGG